rnacentral:lncRNA from 1 species
AUUAGGAAGGAAUAAAUGUCACUUGAUAUCUGCGGUAUCUGCAGUUAAGUUGAAUUAAUUGAAAAGUCUGCAUUUCAGCAACCUUACUUUCCUCCUUAGAUGAGACUAUCCUCUUUUUGUUGAUUUUCCACUCUUUAUUCAGCACCUUGCUUUCCAGCACCCACUCGGUGACAGACCUGUCGGCCAGCACAGGGAGCAACCGAAUGAACAGACCCUGUAUCAGUGUCACAUUUGUGCACUGCAAUUCAUGCACAGCAAAGAGAGGGCUGAGAUAGAGGCAUGGAGUCUAUACAUCGUGCCUAACGAAGGACAGAAGAAGCAUUUAAGACAUUUUGAUAACAUCACGCAAUCUCCAUCAGCUUUUGUGUGGUCUUUGUAGAAUCUAUUUUCGACGGAUAGGCUCAUUGUUACAGUCUGAUCUGAGCCGACUGCACUGCAAAAAAAUUGCAGAUGAUGGGAAUUGUAGUCUCAUUCUCCUUGCCAUGUGGUUGGUUCCUUUGCAGGUCGUGACUGAAUAUUAUGUCCUCCCCAGUAGUGAAACACAACAUAAAUGCAAGUCAUUUGACCUAGAGGUUUCCAUCAAAGAAGCAGCAGAGCGCAAGGCACCAAAAGGAACAAUCAGGUCCUACACUCUGGAUAUCUGUAUGAGGUGAGAUUGCUAGUCCACAUUGUACCAGGUCCUACACACUGGAUAUCUGUAAGUAGUGAGACUGCUAGUCCGCACUGUAUCAGGUCCUACACACCGGAUAUCUGUAUGAGUUUAGACUGUCAGUCUGCAGUGCAUCAUCCAUAUCCAUCAUCCAUCAGUACAAUGUCAUCACUUCUGCCAGAAUCGUUUUAUAUUGAACCCCGAGUACUUUAGAUGUGGUUCUCACUGAGCUCUUGAAAUGUUCUGAGUAUCUUAACUUAAUACAUUAGAAUAUAUCAGCAACCACUGUCUUUAAACGUAUUAGAUCUGUAAUUUUAACUCCUGACCCCGGAGGGCUGCUGUCAACCUGGUUUCAUUCAGUACUGUACAGUAGGUAACCUUUGAUCCUCAAAGAGUGAAGACCUGAAAGAGUGGUAAUAAGGAUUAACUGAUUGAAUGACUUACUUAAGUCAAGUUUGUAAGUACCCCGGGGUGAAAUGAAAAAACAGAAAAGACAGCACCCCCUCUAGAACAUGGAGUGUAUAUCGGUGCAUUAGCACAUAUUAGGAAGCACUGGCAAAAUAGAAUAAUCCAGAAACUUAUCUCGUUGCUAAAUAACUGCAGUGCAAUGUUUUCUAAACUUGUUACUUUGGUGAAUACCUUUGUGUCUGACAUUCUGUGCCAGCCGUACUCUGCACUGUAAAAGACACUCAAAAUCUGUAUGAUACAGUGUUAAAAUAACCUUGGACUGUCUUACCUGUGUCUUGUCCCCAG